UACGGUAGGGUGCGAGCGUUGUCCGGAAUUAUUGGGCGUAAAGAGCUCGUAGGCGGUGUGUCACGUCGGCCGUGAAAACCUGGGGCUUAACUCUGGGCGUGCGGUCGAUACGGGCAUCACUAGAGUUCGGCAGGGGAGACUGGAAUUCCUGGUGUAGCGGUGAAAUGCGCAGAUAUCAGGAGGAACACCGGUGGCGAAGGCGGGUCUCUGGGCCGAUGACUGACGCUGAGGAGCGAAAGCAUGGGUAGCGAACAGG
rnacentral:rRNA from 1 species